rnacentral:rRNA from 1 species
CCCUAGUAACUGCGAGUGAAGCGGGAAAAGCUCAAAUUUUGAAUCUGGCGGUCGUCACUGGCCGUCCGAAUUGUAAUCUAGAGAAGCGUCUUCCGCGCUGGUCCGUGUACAAGUCUCCUGGAAAGGAACAUCAUAGAGGGUGAGAAUCCCGUCUUUGACACGGACUACCAGUGCUUAUGUGAUGCGCUCUCAACGAGUCGAGUUGUUUGGGAAUGCAGCUCAAAAUGGGUGGUAAAUUCCAUCUAAAGCUAAAUACAGGCGAGAGACCGAUAGCGAACAAGUACCGUGAGGGAAAGACGAAAAGAACUUUGAAAAGAGAGUUAAACAGUACGUGAAAUUGCUGAAAGGGAAACACUUGAUGUCAGUCGCGUUGAUUAGGGGUCAGCCUGGCUUAAUUGCCUGGUGUAAUUCCUAGUUGAUGGGUCAGCAUUAGUUUUUGGUUAUUGUAUAAAGGCUUUGGGGAAAGUAGCAUUCUUUAGGGAAUGUAUUAUAGACCCUUAUGUUGAAUGCAAUGAUUAGGACUAAGGAUAGCUCUGCACGAAACUAGCUUUU